rnacentral:tRNA from 2 species
UCGGGUAUGGUGUAGCGGUAACAUCAGCGACUCUCACUCGCUAGCCCGGGGUUCGACUCCCCGUAUCCGAG